CCUACGGGAGGCAGCAGUGAGGAAUAUUGGUCAAUGGGCUUACGCCUGAACCAGCCAAGUCGCGUGAGGGAAGACUGCCCUAUGGUUUGUAAACCUCUUUUGUCAGGGAGCAACGCCGGCUACGUGUAGCCGGACUGAGAGUACCUGACGAAAAAGCAUCCGCUAACUCGGUGCCAGCAGCCGCGGUAAUACGGAGGAUGCGUGCGUUAUCCGGAUUGAUUGGGUUUAAAGGGUGCGUAGGCGGAAUGCCAAGUCAGCGGUAAAAUCGCGGGGCUCAACCUCGCUCCGCCGUUGAAACUGGCGUUCUUGAGUGGGCGAGAAGUAUGCGGAAUGCGUGGUGUAGCGGUGAAAUGCAUAGAGAUCACGCAGAACUCCGAUUGCGAAGGCAGCAUACCGGCGCACAACUGACGCUGUAGCACGAAAGCGUGGGUAUCGAACAGGAUUAGAUACCCUUGUAGUC
rnacentral:rRNA from 1 species